UGAAUUACAAUUUCUCCUUUUCCAACCGUUAAUUCUCAUUCAAAAUUUGUGUGCAACUCCGUCUUUGAGUCUUCAACUUAUCACGCUAAAAUUCACCUUAUUCCAACUAGUAGAUCUCCAGAUAUUACAAAAAACCUAAACAACCCCAAUCUGCCAUCUUUUGAUACCUCUUUAUACUAAUGAUCAAAUAUCCUCUAAUUUUACUAUUAGUUUAAUACAAAAUUUUGCAUACAAUUGGCAUAUUCAACCAUCUAUAUAUCUCUUAAAUUUCAACCACAAAUGUUUUUCUAAUUUCACAAAAUAAUCAAGAGUACUAGCCCUAACUUUAUUGCAAAAAAUCCAAAUCACCAAUACAAACACCGAUUUUGAACAAUGAUUUCAAAGUCCUCCCAAAUCCUAUGAAUCUAAGUCCUACACUUUUAGAAGGAGCUUGAAGCUAGCUCUCCGAUGCCAAAUCCCGAUCUCUGAAUGCUCUCCUAUUUUGCCCUAAGUGGCCGUUUUAGUGACUAGAGGUCUGGUUUUGAUCC
rnacentral:lncRNA from 1 species